UAACCAAAAGUAAAAACGUUGGAUACAGAUACCCACUCAACUAUAUUUCUUUGAUCGAUUAUCGCCCAUCAAUUGCAUAAUUUUACUCAAACUAAUUAGAAAGUUCAUCAAAUUCAUCAGAUUUUAUCUAAUUUAUUAAUAAUAUUAUCAAAUUUAAUAAUUUUAAUUAUUUUUAAAUAAACACAACUAAGUUAAUUAAUAGUUAAUAACAAACAAAUUGAGUGUUUAAAUCUAAUAAAAUUUUAAACAUCAAUAAACUAACCUAAUGAAGCAAUGUAGAACUAACCUAAUGGAACAAUGUCAAAAUAACUACAACUUUUUCAAUGUCAAAGUUGAGGAAUCAAUGUCAAAGUUGAGAAAAAGUUGAGGAAUCAACUCUACUUAGGAGAAACAAUGUAGCCUAAUGAAGCGAUGUCAAAAUAACUAACCUACUGGAACAAUAUAGAAGGAAUGCUUAGGAGAGAGGGCACGGCAGCAGCACAGGUGGGCGGCGGCGACGGCGGCGUCGGCGUCGGCGUCAGCGUCGGCGUCGGCGUCAGACUCGUUGGGUCGGAGUGAGGGAGACAGAGAGGAGUGAGUGAGAGUGAGGGAGACACUGUGGGAGACAGAGAGAGCUCGGGCGGGGCUAGUCAGGGAGAAAGGAAAAGGGUUCGGGUGCGGUUAGGGUAUAUCGACUAAAUGCGGUGAAUGGUUCACCGCAUAUAAAUGCGGUAAUCCAUUCACCGUAUUUAAAAACGGUGAACCAUUCCCCGUUUUUGUCACGCCCCGGGGUCCCUUUUUAGUUUGGAAAAACAGCGGAAACGACUAAAUUUUUUUUUUUUUUUUUUGAAACACCUGACCCCAGAGUAUGUCAGAUCCGCCACAAAUACAGGGAAUCCACUGUUCACACGGACAGAGUUUCCUCUGUAUUUGCACGGCGUCGCACAAGUACAAUUAUACAAUCAGAGUACAACCAGAAUACAACCACAGCCAUAUGAACAUACAACCUCAACCGCACAUACAGACGUCCAUACAUUCACCAUUCACAACACGACGGUAUUCAUAGUUUUAAACAUAAAUCCAGAUCUAUCAUUUGAAACGUUUCCUACCCGGAAACAAGUUUUGAAAUACUAAGUCUCAGAAAUCCAUUGGAAGCUUCUUUUAAGACUGUUUCCCACACGGAAACN
rnacentral:lncRNA from 1 species